rnacentral:rRNA from 1 species
AGUGAACGCUGGCGGUAGGCCUAACACAUGCAAGUCGAACGACAGCACAGGAGAGCUUGCUCUCUGGGUGGCGAGUGGCGGACGGGUGAGGAAUACAUCGGAAUCUACCUUUUCGUGGGGGAUAACGUAGGGAAACUUACGCUAAUACCGCAUACGACCUACGGGUGAAAGUGGGGGACCGCAAGGCCUCACGCGAUUAGAUGAGCCGAUGUCCGAUUAGCUAGUUGGCGGGGUAAUGGCCCACCAAGGCGACGAUCGGUAGCUGGUCUGAGAGGAUGAUCAGCCACACUGGAACUGCGACACGGUCCAGACUCCUACGGGAGGCAGCAGUGGGGAAUAUUGGACAAUGGGCGCAAGCCUGAUCCAGCCAUACCGCGUGGGUGAAGAAGGCCUUCGGGUUGUAAAGCCCUUUUGUUGGGAAAGAAAUCCUGUCGACUAAUACUCGGUGGGGAUGACGGUACCCAAAGAAUAAGCACCGGCUAACUUCGUGCCAGCCGCCGCAGUAACAC